rnacentral:rRNA from 1 species
GACAGAGGGGGCAAGCGUUGCUCGGAAUUACUGGGCGUAAAGGGCGCGUAGGCGGGAUGGCAAGUCGGUCGUGAAAUCCCUCGGCUCAACUGAGGAGCGUCGAUCGAAACUGCCGUUCUUGAGGGUUGCAGAGGAGACUGGAAUUCCCGGUGUAGCGGUGAAAUGCGUAGAGAUCAUGAGGAAGACCAGUGGCGAAGGCGGGUCGCUGGACAGUUCCUGACACUGAGACACGAAGGCCAGGGGAGCAAACGGG